rnacentral:rRNA from 1 species
UACAGAGACCCCGAGCCUUAUCCGGAUUAAUUGGGCGUAAAGCGUUCGUAGGCGGUUUUGUAAGUCAUCUGUUAAAUCUUCAGGCUCAACCUGGAGGCUGCGGGUGAUACUGCAAGACUCGAGUGUGGGAGAGGCAAGUGGAAUGCCCGGUGUAGCGGUUAAAUGCGUUAAUAUCGGGUAGAACACCAAAGGCGAAAGCAACUUGCUGGAACACAACUGACGCUCAUGAACGAAAGCGUGGGGAGCGAAAGGG